AACGAACGCUGGCGGCGUGCUUAACACAUGCAAGUCGAACGCGAAAGGGACUUCGGUCCCGAGUAGAGUGGCGCACGGGUGAGUAACGCGUAAGUAAUCUACCCCUGUAUCUGGAAUAACCCACCGAAAGGUGAGCUAAUACCGGAUACGUUUAUCUUGAUGCGAAUGAUGAUAAAGAAAGGUGGCCUCUUCAUGAAAGCUACCGUACAGGGACGAGCUUGCGUACCAUUAGCUGGUUGGUAGGGUAAUGGCCUACCAAGGCGACGAUGGAUAGCGGGUCUGAGAGGAUGAUCCGCCACACUGGAGCUGAAACACGGACCAGACUCCUACGGGAGGCAGCAGUGAGGAAUAUUGCGCAAUGGGGGCAACCCUGACGCAGCGACGCCGCGUGGACGAUGAAGGCCCUUGGGUCGUAAAAUCCUGUCAGAUGGAAAGAAAUGUACAGGUGUUAAUAUCGCCUGUAUUUGACGGUACCAUCAAAGGAAGCACCGGCUAACUCCGUGCCAGCAGCCGCGGUAAUACGGAGGGUGC
rnacentral:rRNA from 1 species